rnacentral:sRNA from 1 species
AGUUUCAGGAUUUGGCUAACACAAAUGCCCUACAGUCCAGUGUCUGAUUGGCAUGUGGAGAGAGAAACGCUCCAGAGGACAAGUGCUGUUUGAUAAAGUGUGUGAACACUUGAACUUGCUAGAGAAAGACUACUUUGGGCUUACGUAUCGAGAUGCUGAAAACCAGAAGGUACUACCUCUGCUUGCAGUUGCGAGAUGACAUCGUGUCCGGAAGGCUGCCCUGCUCCUUCGUUACCCUGGCCUUGCUGGGCUCCUACACUGUCCAGUCAGAGCUCGGAGACUAUGACCCAGACGAAUGUGGGAGCGAUUACAUUAGUGAGUUCCGCUUUGCACCAAACCACACUAAAGAACUGGAAGACAAAGUGAUCGAGCUGCACAAGAGCCACAGAGGAAUGACGCCAGCAGAAGCAGAGAUGCAUUUCUUGGAAAAUGCCAAAAAAUUAUCAAUGUAUGGGGUAGAUUUACAUCAUGCUAAGGACUCAGAAGGGGUAGAAAUUAUGUUAGGAGUUUGUGCAAGUGGUCUGUUGAUAUAUCGCGACCGGCUGCGAAUAAACAGAUUUGCCUGGCCCAAGGUUCUAAAGAUUUCAUACAAACGGAACAACUUUUACAUUAAGAUCCGGCCGGGAGAGUUUGAACAAUUUGAAAGCACCAUUGGGUUUAAGCUGCCAAACCAUCGAGCUGCCAAGCGUUUAUGGAAAGUAUGUGUUGAGCAUCAUACAUUUUUCAGACUACUGUUACCAGAAGCACCUCCCAAGAAAUUCCUAACCUUGGGUUCCAAGUUUCGUUAUAGUGGCAGGACACAAGCGCAAACGAGAAGAGCCAGUGCGUUGAUAGAUCGCCCAGCACCUUACUUUGAACGCUCAUCCAGCAAACGUUAUACCAUGUCUCGCAGCUUGGAUGGAGCAUCAGUGAAUGAAAACCAUGAAAUAUACAUGAAGGAUUCUAUGUCUGCUGCAGAGGUUGGUACUGGCCAGUACGCCACAACAAAAGGCAUCUCUCAGACCAACUUGAUCACCACUGUGACUCCGGAGAAGAAGGCUGAGGAGGAGCGGGACGAGGAAGAGGACAAACGGAGGAAGGGGGAAGAAGUCACGCCCGUCUCGGCCAUCCGGCACGAGGGAAAGACUGACAGUGAGCGCACAGACACCGCAGCCGACGGGGAGACCACCGCCACUGAGGAGCUAGAAAAAACUCAAGAUGACCUGAUGAAACAUCAAACCAACAUUAGCGAGCUGAAAAGAACCUUCUUAGAAACUUCAACAGACACUGCCGUAACGAAUGAAUGGGAGAAGAGGCUUUCCACCUCCCCCGUGCGACUGGCCGCCAGGCAGGAGGAUGCCCCCAUGAUCGAACCACUUGUCCCUGAAGAGAAAAUGGAAACCAAGACGGAGUCCAGUGGAAUAGAGACGGAACCCACCGUGCACCACCUGCCGCUUAGCACUGAGAAGGUGAUGCAGGAGACCGUGUUGGUGGAGGAGCAGCGUGUGGUGCACGUGAGUGGGGAUGCUUCUUACUCGGCGGGAGAGAGCGGGGAUGCUGCAGCACAGCCCGCAUUCACAGGCAUUAAAGGGAAAGAGGGCUCUGCCUUGACGGAGGAGGCUAAAGAGGAAGGAGGGGAGGAGGUCGCUAAAGCUGUCCUGGAACAGGAAGAGACAGCCGCUGCUUCCCGUGAGCGACAAGAGGAGCAGAGUGCAGCCAUCCACAUUUCAGAAACUUUGGAACAAAAACCUCAUUUUGAGUCCUCAACGGUGAAGACGGAAACCAUCAGUUUUGGCAGUGUUUCACCGGGAGGAGUAAAGCUAGAAAUUUCCACCAAGGAAGUGCCAGUAGUUCACACCGAAACCAAAACCAUCACAUAUGAAUCAUCACAGGUGGAUCCAGGCACAGAUCUGGAGCCAGGCGUGCUGAUGAGUGCACAGACGAUCACAUCUGAAACCACCAGUACCACCACCACUACGCACAUCACCAAAACUGUGAAAGGGGGCAUUUCAGAGACAAGAAUUGAGAAGCGAAUAGUCAUCACGGGGGAUGCAGACAUUGACCAUGACCAGGCGCUGGCUCAGGCAAUUAAAGAGGCCAAAGAGCAGCACCCUGACAUGUCAGUGACCAAAGUAGUGGUCCAUAAAGAGACAGAGAUCACACCAGAAGAUGGAGAGGAUUGACCAGAGGAAUAACUUAGCUUGCACAUGAAUGCAGUCAUGCAAACCGUUAGGAAAACCAGAGCCUAUAUGGAGUUCCCUCUUCUAACCCAACUGACUUGUAUCUGUCCGUGGAAAAUUUCAGUCCAGAAGAAUUGACCUUGACCAUUAAUAAAGACACUGGCAGAGAGAUCUUCCCAUAAUAAAGCAAUCUGAUUCAGCAUCACUAAACCGAUAAUGCAUGAAGCAACGAUAAAAUUACAAAAGAGCAGCAUUUUUAAUUUUCACAAAAUGUCUCAGUUUUCAGCUAUACCUGCACGUUCAUAACCAACAAUAUAAACCGUGGUCUCAUGUAACACAUAAACAAUUCAUGCCUUUCAUAGUUUAUUAAAGUCUAAACAAAAUUGCAAUUUCUUAGGUAACCUUUUAUUUACAAUAAAUGAAGAUUACCCUCAAAUGCUAGAAGCUGUCUAGGUCCGUCCGGUGUGUCAGAUUUUCCUCAGAUUAGAUGUGCCAAUAACCAAGUUUAUUCAGUAAACAACUUGUACUUGUUUCAUCUGGUUUUAUUACUCUCACCCAUAAACAGUAAUGACUCUCUGACCCUCUGGAAAUAUUUAAUGCUUCCAAUCUUGCUUUGUGUAUCUCAUUUAAUUUGUUAUAAGGUAGUACUGAUUUUAGCAUAUUAAUGCGAUUUCUUCCUUGUUGUUUGCUUUGGUCUGUGUUCAAUCCAGAGAGCUUAAAUUGUCAUUAUUUUGGGAAGAAAACCUGUAUUUUUGUUAGUUUACAAUAUUAUGAAAUUUCACUUCAGGAGAAACUGCUGGGCUUCCUGUGGCUUUGUUUUCUUAGUUUCUUUUUCCGUGCCGUGUAUUUUUUAAUUGAUUUUUCUUCUUUUACUUGAAAAGAAAGUGUUUUAUUUUCAAAUCUGGUCCAUAUUUACAUUCUAGUUCAGAGCCAAGCCUUAAACUGUACAGAAUUUCCACUGUAAUUAAAACUAUUUAGUGUUAGUUAUAAAUAGCCUUCAAAAAGAGAGAUUCUCCAUUACACGAUCACCUGCAUCACAGCCCAUGGUGAAUGUAUGUUUCUGCAUAGCGAAAUAAAAAUGGCAAAUGCACUGAAA